rnacentral:tRNA from 1 species
GGCGGGGUAGCUCAGUUGGUUAGAGCACGGGACUCAUAAGCCCGGUGUCGGCAGUUCGAUUCUGCCUCCCGCUACCA